GGAUGUGAGGGCGAUCUGGCUAUGACAUCUGUCACCCCAUUGGUUACCAGCACUGAUUUGGCUGAUCUGGCUGCCUAGGCAGGUGUCUUCUUCCUCACUCACUGCUCCAUGUUUGUCCUUCCUGAAACUGUAGUCUUAGUCGAAGAGGAUGACCUUCACUGAUGGAGGAGAACCAUUUCCUCCAUCAAGGGUAUACGAAUAGCUAUGGUCCAACUGCUACAACUUCCAAACAAACUCUCAAGGUUGAACAAUUUCCGAAGACAAGGACUUUCCCAUCACCCUUGGAUGCCCAAAAGUCUUUGGUUUAAAUUGAAG
rnacentral:snRNA from 1 species